UCAGAGAGAGGGAGCCUUCAGUCCACAUCGUACCCAGCCCGCCCCGAAUCAUUCCCGUCCCCAUCCCCCCGGCUCCGACUUGUUCCUGUCUAGACAGGGGCCCCCAUCAGAGCCGCCGCCAUCAGUGCAGGCGUCUGUGAGACCUUCAGUGAAGGAGACAGCGAAGACGUCCAUCCCCCAUCAGAGCUGGUUCCUGCCUCCUCUGUGCUUUGUUUGCCCUCCCUUCUGCCUCUCUGCCCCAUCCCAUCCCAGGCAACUACUGACUUGCUUUUCCUCCAUCUGUAGAUUCGUUAGGUUACACUUUGCAAAAUUCCACGUGAAUAAAAUCAGCAGUUUGUAUACCUUUUGUCUGGUUUCUCUCACUUAGAGUUAUUUUGUGAUUCAUCUGUGUUAUGGCCUGCAGUGAUAAUGCCUCUUGUUGUUGAGUAGUAUUAGGUCGCAUGGGUGUAACCUUUUGUUUAUCUUUACAUCUGUUGAUUGGCAUUUGAUUUGUUCACAGUAGGUGGCUUUGAAGCUGUUGGGGACACUCCUGUAGAAGAAGUAUGUGGUCUCCUGCUGAGUGGCUGGACCAUAGAGUAAGGCCAUGUUUACCUUUUUAGGAAAGUUCUCAAGUGUUUUCGAGAGUGCUUGUGGCAUUUUACGUUCCCAUCAGUGAUGCAUGAGAGUUGAAGUCCAUUCAUGUCCUUGCUCACUCGUGCUGUGAUCAGUCACUCAAUUGUAACGUACACAUUUUAGCCUCAGUUGUGCUAAUAGGUGCGUACUAGUGUUUCAUUGUUUUUAAUCUGCAUUCCUAUAGUGAUUUAUGAUACUGAGUGUAUUGUACAUAGUGCCAACUAUGUUUCUUUGGUGAAGUGUAUUCAAGUCUUCUACCCAUUUAUGUAUAUGAACAUUUGUUAUCUUAUGGUUGGUUGGUUACUUAAGGUUAAUAUCUAUGUCUUUGAUAUUAGUAACAUUACUCUCAGGUAGUCUACAUUAUCUGUAUAUUAUCUUCUCUGUUUUACUCUUCUGUGUUUUCUUGGAUAAGUCAGCUUACCUUUCUAAGAUAGUUUCCGCGGCUGUAAAUUCAGGAUAGUAUUUACUGCCUAUGGGUGAUUGAA
rnacentral:lncRNA from 1 species